UACGAAGGGGGCUAGCGUUGCUCGGAAUCACUGGGCGUAAAGGGCGUGUAGGCGGCCAUUCAAGUCGGAGGUGAAAGCCCAGGGCUCAACCCUGGAAUUGCCUUCGAUACUGUUUGGCUAGAGACCGGAAGAGGUAAGUGGAACUGCGAGUGUAGAGGUGAAAUUCGUAGAUAUUCGCAAGAACACCAGUGGCGAAGGCGGCUUACUGGUCCGGUUCUGACGCUGAGGCGCGAAAGCGUGGGGAGCAAACAGG
rnacentral:rRNA from 1 species